GUGAACGCUGGCGGUAGGCCUAACACAUGCAAGUCGAACGGCAGCACAGUAAGAGCUUGCUCUUACGGGUGGCGAGUGGCGGACGGGUGAGGAAUACAUCGGAAUCUACUUUUUCGUGGGGGAUAACGUAGGGAAACUUACGCUAAUACCGCAUACGACCUACGGGUGAAAGCAGGGGAUCUUCGGACCUUGCGCGAUUGAAUGAGCCGAUGUCGGAUUAGCUAGUUGGCGGGGUAAAGGCCCACCAAGGCGACGAUCCGUAGCUGGUCUGAGAGGAUGAUCAGCCACACUGGAACUGAGACACGGUCCAGACUCCUACGGGAGGCAGCAGUGGGGAAUAUUGGACAAUGGGCGCAAGCCUGAUCCAGCCAUACCGCGUGGGUGAAGAAGGCCUUCGGGUUGUAAAGCCCUUUUGUUGGGAAAGAAAAGCAGCAGGUUAAUACCCCGCUGUUCUGGCGGUACCCAAAGAAUAAGCACCGGCUAACUUCGUG
rnacentral:rRNA from 1 species